rnacentral:rRNA from 1 species
AUUGAACGCUGGCGGCAGGCCUAACACAUGCAAGUCGAGCGGAUGAGAGGAGCUUGCUUCUCGAUUCAGCGGCGGACGGGUGAGUAAUGCCUAGGAAUCUGCCUGGUAGUGGGGGACAACGUUUCGAAAGGAACGCUAAUACCGCAUACGUCCUACGGGAGAAAGCAGGGGACCUUCGGGCUUUGCGCUAUUAGAUGAGCCUAGGUCGGAUUAGCUAGUUGGUGAGGUAAUGGCUCACCAAGGCGACGAUCCGUAACUGGUCUGAGAGGAUGAUCAGCCACACUGGAACUGAGACACGGUCCAGACUCCUACGGGAGGCAGCAGUGGGGAAUAUUGGACAAUGGGCGAAAGCCUGAUCCAGCCAUGCCGCGUGUGUGAAGAAGGUCUUCGGAUUGUAAAGCACUUUAAGUUGGGAGGAAGGGUUGUAGAUUAAUACUCUGCAAUUUUGACGUUACCGACAGAAUAAGCACCGGCUAACUCCGUGCCAGCCGCCGCGGUAACAC